UGAUGUUCUACUAGUGUAUUUGCUUAUUCCUAAGCCAGUAUCUGCUAAGGGAAGUUCUUUCAAGCAAUCUUUCAUAAUUGUCUUGGCUACCAUUUAUUCCUCUAUUCUUCCACUUAUGUACAAAAGAUUAUUUUAUCUAAUCCCUCCAAUGAAACAAUUGAGAUGUAUAACGCAUGUUUUAGAGACAUUUAAUAGAAAGCAGUGAUUGAUUUUAAGCAGAAAUAAAUUUAAUAUAGGGAAUUAGGUUUUUAUAUGGUUGAUGUAAAGGAUUUGGGAACAAUCUCUUUGCUGGGCUACCAGGAACUAUUUUGCUAACUAACCCACUAGGGGAUCUAAUUAAAUCACCAACAGGAAGCAAGGGAACCAGCUGUU
rnacentral:lncRNA from 1 species